rnacentral:rRNA from 1 species
AUACGGAGGGGGCUAGCGUUGUUCGGAAUUACUGGGCGUAAAGGGCGUGUAGGCGGAUCGAUCAGUCAGGCGUGAAAGCCCCGGGCUCAACCCGGGAACCGCGCUUGAUACUGUCAAUCUUGAGUCCGGGAGAGGGUAGUGGAAUUCCCAGUGUAGAGGUGAAAUUCGUAGAUAUUGGGAAGAACACCAGUGGCGAAGGCGGCUACCUGGACCGGUACUGACGCUGAGGCGCGAAAGCGUGGGGAGCAAACAGGAUUAGAAACCCGGGUAGUCC